AAAUUGAAGAGUUUGAUCAUGGCUCAGAUUGAACGCUGGCGGCAGGCCUAACACAUGCAAGUCGAGCGGAAACGAGUCAUCAGAACCUUCGGGGAACGAUAACGGCGUCGAGCGGCGGACGGGUGAGUAAUGCCUAGGAAAUUGCCCUGAUGUGGGGGAUAACCAUUGGAAACGAUGGCUAAUACCGCAUGAUGCCUACGGGCCAAAGAGGGGGACCUUCGGGCCUCUCGCGUCAGGAUAUGCCUAGGUGGGAUUAGCUAGUUGGUGAGGUAAGGGCUCACCAAGGCGACGAUCCCUAGCUGGUCUGAGAGGAUGAUCAGCCACACUGGAACUGAGACACGGUCCAGACUCCUACGGGAGGCAGCAGUGGGGAAUAUUGCACAAUGGGCGCAAGCCUGAUGCAGCCAUGCCGCGUGUGUGAAGAAGGCCUUCGGGUUGUAAAGCACUUUCAGUCGUGAGGAAGGUGGUAGUGUUAAUAGCACUAU
rnacentral:rRNA from 1 species